rnacentral:rRNA from 1 species
AGCUAGUUGGUGGGGUAUACUAUGGCUCACCAAGGGCGACGAUGCGUAGCCGACCUGAGAGGGUGAUCGGCCACGACUGGGACUGAGACACGGCCCAGACUCCUACGGAGGCAGCAGUAGGGAAUCUUCCGCAAUGGACGAAAGUCUGACGGAGCAACGCCGCGUGAGUGAUGAAGGUUUUCGGAUCGUAAAGCUCUGUUGUUAGGGAAGAACAAGUGCGAGGUAACUGCUGCACCCUGUUGACUGGUACCUAACCAGAAAGCACCACGGCUAACUACGUGCCAGCAGCCGCGGUAAUACGUAGGUGGCAAGCGUUGUCCGGAAUUAUUGGGCGUAAAGGGCUCGCAGGCGGUUUCUUAAGUCUGAUGUGAAAGCCCCGGCUCAACCGGGGAGGGUCAUUGGAAACUGGGAAACUUGAGUGCAGAAGAGGAGAGUGGAAUUCCACGUGUAGCGGUGAAAUGGCGUAGAGGCUGUGGAGGAACACCAGUGGCGAAGGCACUCUCUGGUCUGUAACUGACGCUGAGGAGCGAAAGCGUGGGGAGCGAACAGGAUUAGAUACCCUGGUAGUCCACGCCGUAAACGAUGAGUGCUAAGUGUUAGGGGGUUUCCGCCCCUUAGUGCUGCAGCUAACGCAUAAGCACUCCGCCUGGGGAGUACGGUCGCAAGACUGAAACUCAAAGGAAUUGACGGGGGCCCGCACAAGCGGUGGAGCAUGUGGUUUAAUUCGAAGCAACGCGAAGAACCUUACCAGGUGGCUCUUGACAUCCUCUGACAACCCUAGAGAUAGGGCGCUUUCCCUUCGGGGACAGAGUGACAGGUGGUGCAUGGUUGUCGUCAGCCUCGUGUCGUGAGAUGUUGGGUUAAGUCCCGCAACGAGCGCAACCCUUGAUCUUAGUUGCCAGCAUUUAGUUGGGCACUCUAAGGUGACUGCCGGUGACAAACCGGAGGAAGGUGGGUAUGACGUCAAAUCAUCAUGCCCCUUAUGACCUGGGCUACACACGUGCUACAAUGGACAGAACAAAGGGCUGCGAGACCGCAAGGUUUAGGCUCCAAUCCCAUAAAUCUGUUCUCAGUUCGGAGGCCGCAGUCUGCAACUCGACUGCGU